CCUACGGGUGGCUGCAGUGGGGAAUAUUGGACAAUGGGCGAAAGCCUGAUCCAGCCAUGCGGCGUGUGUGAAGAAGGCCUUCGGGUUGUAAAGCACUUUCAGUGGGGAAGAAAGCCUUGGGGCUAAUACCCUCGAGGAAGGACAUCACCCACAGAAGAAGCACCGGCUAACUCCGUGCCAGCAGCCGCGGUAAUACGGAGGGUGCGAGCGUUAAUCGGAAUUACUGGGCGUAAAGCGCGCGUAGGCGGUCUGAUAAGCCGGUUGUGAAAGCCCCGGGCUCAACCUGGGAACGGCAUCCGGAACUGUCAGGCUAGAGUGCAGGAGAGGAAGGUAGAAUUCCCGGUGUAGCGGUGAAAUGCGUAGAGAUCGGGAGGAAUACCAGUGGCGAAGGCGGCCUUCUGGACUGACACUGACGCUGAGGUGCGAAAGCGUGGGUAGCAAACAGGAUUAGAUACCCCAGUAGUC
rnacentral:rRNA from 1 species